rnacentral:rRNA from 1 species
GUCCUACGGGACGCAGCAGUAGGGAAUCUUCCGCAAUGGACGCAAGUCUGACGGAGCAACGCCGCGUGAGUGAAGAAGGUUUUCGGAUCGUAAAACUCUGUUGUUAGAGAAGAACAAGUGCUAGAGUAACUGUUAGCGCCUUGACGGUAUCUAACCAGAAAGCCACGGCUAACUACGUGCCAGCAGCCGCGGUAAUACGUAGGUGGCAAGCGUUGUCCGGAUUUAUUGGGCGUAAAGCGAGCGCAGGCGGUUCCUUAAGUCUGAUGUGAAAGCCCCCGGCUCAACCGGGGAGGGUCAUUGGAAAA